UACUCUCUUAUGAAAAAUUCUUAUUGAAGUUUUGGCGAUAUAUAACCCCUAGAAUUAAAAAAUAAUAAUUUUCUGGGGAAUCCUCUCACUGUCGAAUGACGAGAUAAAAUGCAAAUUUCCCGCUUUGGGCGCAUGCGCAAGAAUCUAGGUUAGUAGAACGUAAACAUAUAUCGGCAGAAACAUGGCUUCCGAAGCCAAGAGAUGUCGGCCUAGAAUUGAAACGAGUUCGGCAACAAAGCGACGUAAACAGAAAUGGUCACAGGACAACCCGGUUAUAUGACUGGGGAAACAACACACUAGCCUAGUUGGAAGACAUUCAAUGAAGAAAAUAGUUUCUCUACAAACGAGCAUGCAGCACGGAUUCUUCUGGAUAAGUGUGCACUUCAGUGACACAAAAAGUUCAUGCAGGUGAAGACAUCCCCACACCAGCUGGAACUUCUAUGGGACCGCCAUCACAUGUGUGCAUCCCUACACCAGUAACAUCUACGCCUACACAUGCCCAUAAAGAACCUAUAGCUAUAGAUAGACCUCCGAUGUCUCAGAUAUAGAAGCUCAGUCAUCACACUCGUCUGAUUUAUCUUGUGUGGAAGCAUUACAAUCAGACUCCGAGAGUAACAUUAAUGCCAGCUUGCUUUCCCGUUACCAACAGAAGGCUAAAGAGGAUGACACCUCAUUUAUUGAUAUACCUCAGACACAUCAACCUGAACACUUGCCAAUGGCUGAAGAUCCCAUAGAAAUGGAAGAGGUUGAUGUUGAUGAUGAGCUUACAGAGGAUGAAGGAGACAUUGUGGAAACAGACACUCAAAAGGAUAGUGUUGAAGAAAGGAAAUCAAUAUGCUUCCAAAGUGCCUUGUUGUAACUCACGUCAGUUCAAAUACCCACAACUUGUCAAAGAAAAGCAUGUGGUGCAAAUAUCAUUGUCCAGUGCAGAUAUGUUGGAUGUGCAGUACAGUUGAAAUGAAUUGGAGGAGCAGCAUUUGGUACUAGUCCUGGAUCCUCUGGAUCUUGUGGAUCCUCUGGUUCACCUGCAUUUUCGCAAAGGUCAAAAACUAGGCCUGGCUGACGAUACACUAGCUGAAGAACUAAAUUUAUCAGUGGCUUUAUUUUUGGUUUUGGAGUUGAUAAAUUAUAAUGCACUUAUAUAACUUUUUCCCUCAAAUUUCAUCCCAAAUUUUUCAACUAAGGUUUUAUUUAAGGUAUGUAUGCGUUUUGUGAUAAUUGUUUGUGGAAGUAAGUAUGGUGUAAAUGUGGUGUUCAAUUUCAGAGCAUGUAGGAGGUAGGUGUUCACUUAAUGGUGUAUUGCAGGUGUUUACAUUUCAGUACUAGUGUGUGUUUGAGAGUGUUCACUUGACAGUAUGUGCAGGUGUUCUUUCAACAUUGUGUAUAGGAAGUGUUCAAUUAUCAGUUUGCAGGAAGUGUUCACUAAUCAGUGUGUGUAGGAAGUGUUCACUAUCAGUGUGUGUAGGAAGUGUUCACUUAUCAGU